rnacentral:rRNA from 1 species
UCAGGCUGAAGACCUUGCCGGAUUAGCUGAGAGGUGGUGCAUGGCCGUCGUCAGUUCGUACUGUGAAGCAUCCUGUUAAGUCAGGCAACGAGCGAGACCCACGCCCACAGUUGCCAGCGUACUCUCUGGAGUGACGGGUACACUGUGGGACCGCCGCUGCUAAAGCGGAGGAAGGAAUGGGCAACGGUAGGUCAGUAUGCCCCGAAUAUCCCGGGCUACACGCGAGCUACAAUGGUUGGUACAAUGGGUAUCUACCCCGAAAGGGGACGGGAAUCUCCUAAAACCAAUCUUAGUUCGGAUUGAGGGCUGCAACUCGCCCUCAUGAAGCUGGAAUCCGUAGUAAUCGCGUUUCAACAGAACGCGGUGAAUACGUCCCUGCUCCUU